CAGCACCUCAAGUGGUCAGGAUGAUUAUUGGGCCUAAAGCAUCCGUAGCCGGCGCUGUAAGUUUUCGGUUAAAUCUGUACGCUCAACGUACAGGCUGCCGGGAAUACUGCAGAGCUAGGGAGUGGGAGAGGUAGACGGUACUCGGUAGGAAGGGGUAAAAUCCUUUGAUCUAUUGAUGACCACCUGUGGCGAAGGCGGUCUACCAGAACACGUCCGACGGUGAGGGGUGAAAGCUGGGGGAGCAAACCGGAUUAGAUACCCGCGUAGUCC
rnacentral:rRNA from 1 species